GGGCCCGCACAAGCAGUGGAGCAUGUGGUUUAAUUCGAUGCAACGCGAAGAACCUUACCUACUCUUGACAUCCAGAGAAGCCAGUAGAGAUACAGGUGUGCCUUCGGGAGCUCUGAGACAGGUGCUGCAUGGCUGUCGUCAGCUCGUGUUGUGAAAUGUUGGGUUAAGUCCCGCAACGAGCGCAACCCUUAUCCUUGUUUGCCAGCACUUCGGGUGGGAACUCCAGGGAGACUGCCGGUGAUAAACCGGAGGAAGGUGGGGACGACGUCAAGUCAUCAUGGCCCUUACGAGUAGGGCUACACACGUGCUACAAUGGCGCAUACAGAGGGCAGCCAACUUGCGAAAGUGAGCGAAUCCCAAAAAGUGCGUCGUGGUCCGGAUUGGAGUCUGCAACUCGACUCCAUGAAGUCGGAAUCGCUAGUAAUCGUGGAUC
rnacentral:rRNA from 1 species